CAGCUGGAGCAGCCCAAGAGGGUCCAGGGUUAAACCCACUUAAUGAUUUCUAGGAAGACUUCAGUGACAGGGGGUUGCAGCAGGCUGGAAGGGCACUGAGAUGCUGCUUCAGCUGUUCAACGAGGGAGGUUUUGCUCCUCCUCAUCAGUCUGCAUUUGUUUCUUGUUUCUGCAGUGUUUGUCAGAGAACUGGGAUCCUGGUCAAGGAAGGCUGUUGUCAGACAGCUGUUUGAUGCAAAGCAGACUGAUAUAUGACGUGGUCCCUGUGGGAAGCUGAGGGAGAUGCACACAGGAGCCAGCCCACCCUCACCUGCCUCCCUUCCCUGUGUCACACUGUGACAUAUUCACCAUCCUCACGGAGCCUUCUGCCUUCCUUCGGUGCUGAUGGGCCAUCUCUCACCUCUGAGGAGUCUUUGAGGAAGGCGGCUUACGUUGCAUCAGCAAACAGGCCCUGCCUAAUUUCCCCAUGGUUCUGCUAUAUCCCUGUCUUUGGAAACGCAGCUCCCCUCUCUCUUCU
ensembl:lncRNA